ensembl:snRNA U1 U1 spliceosomal RNA
AUACUUGCCUGACAGGGGAGAUACCAUGAUCAUAAAGGUAGUUUUCCCAGGGCUAGGCUUAUCCAUCACUCUCUGGAUGUGCUGACCCCUGCGGCUUCCCCAAAUGUGGGAAACUCAACUGCAUUAUUUGUGGUAGUGGGGUACUGAGUUCACGCUCUUCCCUA